GUUCCUGUAGCGCAAUGGAUAGCGCAUUGAACUUUUAAUCCAAAGGGCGUGAGUUCGAUUCUUACUUGGAAAGGCA